rnacentral:rRNA from 1 species
UAAUACGUAGGGGGCGAACGUUGCUCGGAAUUAUUGGGCGUAAAGGGUGUGUAGGUGGCUGAGCAAGUCAAAGAUGAAAUCCCAAGGCUCAACCUUGGAACUGUUUUUGAAACUGUUUAGCUUGAGGAUAGCUGAGGAGGACGGAAUUCCCGGUGGAGCGGUGAAAUGCGUAGAUAUCGGGAGGAACACCAGAGGCGAAGGCGGUUCUCUAAGUUAUUCCUGACACUAAGACACGAAAGCUAGGGGAGCAAACGGGAUUAGAUACCCCGGUAGUCCUAGCCGUAAACGAUGGGCACUAGAUGUUUCCGCUUCUUGCGGGAGUGUCGAAGCUAACGCAUUAAGUGCCCCGCCUGGGGAGUACGGUCGCAAGGCUG